GACGAACCGAGCGAACGUUGUUCGGAAUCACUGGGCUUAAAGGGCGCGUAGGCGGACUAUCAAGUCUGGGGUGAAAUUCCCGGGCUCAACCUGGGGGCUGCGCUUGAUACUGAUGAGCUUGAAUGCGGGAGAGGAUAGUGGAAUUCCCAGUGUAGAGGUGAAAUUCGUAGAUAUUGGGAAGAACACCGGUGGCGAAGGCGGCUAUCUGGCCCGUAAUUGACGCUGAGGCGCGAAAGCGUGGGGAGCAAACAGG
rnacentral:rRNA from 1 species